CUGCCAGAUAUUUGGGUUUAUGUUUCUUUCUUCUUCUCAAUAGUAUUUUUUUUUUUCAAGUAAAUGACAUUUCAAAACAUAUGUUACAAUAACGUCAUUUGCCUCUCAGUAUUAAGAUUAUUAUUAUUGUUCUGAAGAAGAAGUCAUGACUAUUACUGAAACAAGUGGAUCUCCAACUAGGCUUCAGGGGAAGUAUGGUGCAAUGGUAGUAUGUUGGAUUCUAGGACUUGGGUCUCGUCUCUUGGAACAGCAUGUUGACAAUAGGAGAUUACUACUAUAACCUGUUCCCGUUCUUGAAGAAUUCUUCCAUGUAAUACUUGAAUUCUAUGAGAAGAGAAAGGCAAGUUGUCUAAUGUUGUUGUGUUUAUCUUUUCUUCCCAUUUUGAGCCUUUUCAGCUCAUUGGUUUUCAAACAGAAAGUCUGCACCUCAUUAUAAUCAUCUUACUUCAUUUUAUUUUACAGCACUUCACUGCUGUCAUUAUCUGUCACAAGGAGGUUAUUCAGUGGAUGACUUUAUGGAAUGCGUUCAAGGAUGAAUUUGAGAAUGAAAAGAACAUGCUUGGUAGUUCUUUAGGACGAUCAAGCACAAGGCUGAUGCUUGGUGAAAAGAACAUGCAUAAACAUUUGAAGUGGCUAAAACAAUAUCGAUGGGGCAUCAUUGAAAAGUGGAUCAAAAGUUGGAAAAAGUGGAUCAAAAGUUCACGAACCAGACGAGCACCCUCUCCAACAUAUUUCUUAACAAAUUCACGAAGCUAAAUUGUACAAGACUACUUGGCAGUAUAAGCAUUUUUGGGAGGAUUAAAUAUUUUUGGAUGGAUGUGUAUGGAUAACAAAUAUUAGUAGUUUUAUUUGUUGAUAGCUGCGCAUGGAUAACAAAUAGUUAUGUUUCAAAUUGUUAUGCUAGAUGGAUGUGACUUGUG